rnacentral:misc_RNA from 1 species
GUAUGCUUAUUGCUCUGCAAGGAAAAUAAAUGCAUAUCCCUGCUCUGUUUCAAGUGCUUAUAUAUAAUCCAAUUUCGCGCUUUUGUGUGAGUUUGUCUCUGUGACAGCCUUCCGCUUACGUGAACUCCCACUCCCUCACUACCCCACUACUAGACGCUUAGGCGCUACGAUUCUCUCUUCUCUAAUUCACAUCUCUCCUUCUGAUACUCUAUUUCGAUCCCUCUCUUUCUCGCUUUCCUCUUCCUCUUCCAUAGCUCAUUGCU